rnacentral:rRNA from 1 species
UACGUAGGUGACAAGCGUUGUCCGGAUUUACUGGGCGUAAAGAGCGCGCAGGCGGUCGUUCAAGUCGAGUGUGAAAGCCCCGGGCUCAACCUGGGAAUUGCAUUUGAGACUGAAUAGCUAGGGUGCGGAAGAGGGAAGCGGAAUUUCCGGUGUAGCGGUGAAAUGCGUAGAUAUCGGAAGGAACACCAGUGGCGAAAGCGGCUUCCUGGUCCAGCACCGACGUUCAGGCACGAAAGCGUGGGGAGCAAACAGG